rnacentral:rRNA from 1 species
UACGGGGGGGGCAAGCGUUGUUCGGAAUUACUGGGCGUAAAGGGCUCGUAGGUGGCCAACUAAGUCAGACGUGAAAUCCCUCGGCUUAACCGGGGAACUGCGUCUGAUACUGGAUGGCUUGAGUUCGGGAGAGGGAUGCGGAAUUCCAGGUGUAGCGGUGAAAUGCGUAGAUAUCAGGAGGAAUACCGAUGGCGAAGGCAGGUCUCUGGGCUGACACUGACGCUCAUGCACGAAAGCGUGGGGAGCAAACAGG